GAUGAACGCUGGCGGCGUGCUUAACACAUGCAAGUCGAACGGACUUGCCCACCGAAGCGGAAGAUGCUUGCAUACGAAGCUUCACCGGGCAAGUUAGUGGCGGACGGGUGAGUAACGCGUGGGGAACCUGCCCCGUACCGGGGGAUAACAGUUAGAAAUGACUGCUAAUACCGCAUAAGCGCACACUGAGGCAUCUCAGAGUGUGAAAAACUCCGGUGGUACGGGAUGGACCCGCGUUGGAUUAGCCAGUUGGCGGGGUAACGGCCCACCAAAGCGACGAUCCAUAGCCGGCCUGAGAGGGCGACCGGCCACAUUGGGACUGAGACACGGCCCAAACUCC
rnacentral:rRNA from 1 species